AACACAGAUAAAUGCUUAACUUACUAAUUUAAGAAGACAUACCUUGAGGUUGAUUACCAGGAGAGCACAGAAGAAUGCCAAGAUUCGAAUCAACAGAGGCAGAAGCCAUUGAAACUUCCGAAGACAGAAGUAGUGAUCUGAGCUUCACUUGACUAUUGUAUCCCUGGCGUCU
rnacentral:lncRNA from 1 species